rnacentral:rRNA from 1 species
ACAGAGGUCCCAAGCGUUGUUCGGAUUUACUGGGCGUAAAGGGCGCGUAGGUGGCAAUAAAAGUCUGGUGUGAAAUCUCUGAGCUCAACUCAGAAACUGCACUAGAAACUGCAUUGCUAGAGUGUUGAAGGGGAGAUUGGAAUUCUCGGUGUAGCAGUGAAAUGCGUAGAUAUCGAGAGGAACACCAGUGGCGAAGGCGAGUCUCUGGACAGCAACUGACGCUGAGGCACGAAGGUCAGGGGAGCAAACGGGA